AACGAACGCUGGCGGCAUGCCUAACACAUGCAAGUCGAACGAGACCUUCGGGUCUAGUGGCGCACGGGUGCGUAACGCGGGGGAACCUGCCCUUAGGUUCGGAAUAACUCCCCGAAAGGGGUGCUAAUACCAGUGAAUGUCUUCCGACCAAAGAUUUAUGGCAUUGGGGUGGGCCCGCGUUGGAUUAGCUAGUUGGUAGGGUAAAAGCCUGCCAAGACGAGGAUCCAUAGCUGGUGUGUGAGGAUGAUCAGCCACACUGGACUGCGACACGGCCCAGACUCCUACGGAAGGCAGCAGUGGGGAAUAUUGGACAAGGGGCGAAAGCCUGAUCCAGCAAUGCGGCGUAAGUGAUGAAGGCCUUAGGGUUGUAAAGCUCUUUUACCCGGGAUGAUAAUGACAGUACCGGGAGAAUAAGCACCGGCUAACUACGUG
rnacentral:rRNA from 1 species